rnacentral:rRNA from 1 species
CAGUAGCCACGGUAAUACGAAGGGGGCUAGCGUUGUUCGGAAUUACUGGGCGUAAGGCGCGCGUAGGCGGACUUUUAAGUCAGGGGUGAAAUCCCGGGGCUCAACCUCGGAACUGCCUUUGAUACUGGAAGUCUUGAGUGUGGAAGAAGUAAGUGGAAUUGCGAGUGUAGAGGUGAAAUUCGUAGAUAUUCGCAGGAACACCAGUGGCGAAGGCGGCUUACUGGUCCACAACUGACGCUGAGGUGCGAAAGCGUGGGGAGCAAACAGGAUUAGAUACCCCCGUAGUCCCUGUCUCUUAUAC